rnacentral:rRNA from 1 species
GACGAACGCUGGCGGCGUGCCUAAUACAUGCAAGUCGAGCGGACGGAUGGGAGCUUGCUCCCUGAAGUCAGCGGCGGACGGGUGAGUAACACGUGGGCAACCUGCCUGUAAGACUGGGAUAACUCCGGGAAACCGGGGCUAAUACCGGAUAACUCUUUUCCUCACAUGAGGAGAAGCUGAAAGAUGGUUUCGGCUAUCACUUACAGAUGGGCCCGCGGCGCAUUAGCUAGUUGGUGAGGUAACGGCUCACCAAGGCCACGAUGCGUAGCCGACCUGAGAGGGUGAUCGGCCACACUGGGACUGAGACACGGCCCAGACUCCUACGGGAGGCAGCAGUAGGGAAUCUUCCGCAAUGGACGAAAGUCUGACGGAGCAACGCCGCGUGAGUGAUGAAGGUUUUCGGAUCGUAAAACUCUGUUGUCAGGGAAGAACAAGUACCGGAGUAACUGCCGGUACCUUGACGGUACCUGACCAGAAAGCCACGGCUAACUACGUGCCAGCAGCCGCCGUAAAAC